rnacentral:rRNA from 1 species
UACGUAGGUGGCAAGCGUUGUCCGGAUUUACUGGGCGUAAAGAGCGCGCAGGCGGUCGUUCAAGUCGCGUGUGAAAGCCCCCGGCUCAACUGGGGAGGGUCACGCGAUACUGAUCGACUGGAAGGCAGGAGAGGGUAGUGGAAUUCCCGGUGUAGUGGUGAAAUGCGUAGAUAUCGGGAGGAACACUAGUGGCGAAGGCGACUACCUGGCCUGUUCUUGACGCUGAGGCGCGAAAGCUAGGGGAGCAAACGGG